rnacentral:rRNA from 1 species
UGGGGAAUAUUGGACAAUGGGCGAAAGCCUGAUCCAGCCAUGCCGCGUGUGUGAAGAAGGUCUUCGGAUUGUAAAGCACUUUAAGUUGGGAGGAAGGGAAGUAAGCGAAUACCUUGCUGUUUUGACGUUACCGACAGAAUAAGCACCGGCUAACUCUGUGCCAGCAGCCGCGGUAAUACAGAGGGUGCGAGCGUUAAUCGGAUUUACUGGGCGUAAAGCGUGCGUAGGCGGCUAAUUGAGUCGGAUGUGAAAUCCCCGAGCUUAACUUGGGAAUUGCAUUCGAUACUGGUUAGCUAGAGUGUGGGAGAGGAUGGUAGAAUUCCAGGUGUAGCGGUGAAAUGCGUAGAGAUCUGGAGGAAUACCGAUGGCGAAGGCAGCCAUCUGGCCUAACACUGACGCUGAGGUACGAAAGCAUGGGGAGCAAACAGG